AUGGGUCAUAAGAUCGAGCCCAUUAGGCUCUAUACUCAGCACAGAGUCUGCUUGGGAUUCUUUCCCUCUUCGUCUCCCUUCUUUCUGCUUUCUGCUCCCUCUCCCCACCUCACACAAAUCAAUCAAUCAAUCUUAAAAAAUAAAACACAUAAAUACCUAUUAAGAUUACUGAAAAAUUUUUUAUUCAAUUUGUCACAUAUAAUCAGUACAUUUCUAGUCUGGACAGCUCUUUGGAUAAUUACCUGAAUUAUUUGUUAAGUGCUGUAGAUUGCUCACUUAACUUGGUAAGAAGCAGUUUGCUAAAAAUGAAAAAAAAGAAAGAAAGAAAGAGGGAGAGAGAGAGAAAGAAAAAAACAACUAAGGGUGAGGGAGGAGCAGGGGAGGGAGGGAGGGAGGGAGUAAAACACCAAGCUUUGCUAAUAAAUAGUUCUCAGAAAUAUCAGCUCCCAAUUUACUACUUGUACACAAUGGGCCAGUUGGAACUUGCAUGGUGAUCCAAUUUGCCACAGCUCUUGUUUUUAGUCUUUGUGGAGAAGCUGUGUGAGCACAGUGGGGGCCGCUCCCCCGCAUCCCCUGAGUCAAUCAGUGGGCUUUUGUUUCCUGCUGGUCAAAAAUAUCAGGUGGCUUUGAGAGUCUAAUUAUCAAUGAAAAAUUAAAUUCAAUACAGAAAUGUAGCCACAAGCACCCUCUCCUCACCCUUCCUGAGCCCUCCCCACCCCAGGCAUGUGAUGGAGUAUCACGUUAUUCCUUAGGAUUCCAAAAAGAUAGCAAGGAAAAAAGGCACGGGCCUGGAGAAGCAAGCAGAAGAAUACAUGAUUUUUACGUACACAGCCUCCUCCUCCUUUGGUGGAGGACUGUUCUAAUUACCAUAGACAUUCUGGAAAUUAGCAAGCAGUAGGGAGUUUCCUCUUAGAAUUGCAAGGCCACAUUUAUCUCAAUAUUGCUUCAGAAAAUGUUCUGGCCAUAGUUCCCAUCGGAAAUGGAAUAAACAGAGAAAUGAAAGAAUGUAUAUGUUAUUGUCAAUAACCCAAAUUUAUCUAUCUGAUAAGGCGAAUAUACUCUCUUCUAAUGCAGUAUAGGAGUUUGCUGUUGGUUCAAGUAUAUUCCUUCCUCUUCUGAAUUUAUUCCAGGCAGUGGAGAAAACAGAAACUUGAAAAAAGCUUGUAACCACAAGCCUGUAACACUUUAUUCAGGCUUGCAAAGGUCAAGACAGAUACAGGCUCCUCAUUUCAUAUUCUAAUUCAGCACAGAAUUUGAGCCCACCAAACCCAGAUAUGGUACAGUUUUCAUUCUCAGCACCUGUAUUUUCUUCUAAUCCUCUCAUCUUAAAAAAAAAAAAAAAAAAAAAAGUACUUUCUUGACAAGUGAUCAACUAAGGUUGUUGGGGUGGGGGGUGUGGAAUCCUACUAACUCAAAAUAUGCCUUCUGGUCAACCUUUCCCUUUAGAUACUACCCCAAAUAUGGAAUACUAAAGGUAAAGCCAUUGGAGGCAAGCCUUUUCAAGGUGCUCAAAUACUUCAAAUAUAGUGUCAUCAUAUGUUAUUUUUAAAUCCCACAGUAAAUAUUAUGGUUGAUUCACUAAUACCAUUGAAGUGUGAAGUGUUCCUUCCAUAUGAGGAACUAUCAACAGAUGGUAUCAACCUUGGGUUAAAUAUCUCUGGAGAUUAUUUAAUCGGACAAUCUACUUUUCUCUAGGAGUUCAAAGUUAUAAAAAGCCUUGGGGUGCAGGGGUGGCUCAGUCGGUUGAACAUCUGACUCUUGAUUUCAGCUCAGGUCAUGGUCUCAUGGGUCAUAAGAUCGAGCCCAUUAGGCUCUAUACUCAGCACAGAGUCUGCUUGGGAUUCUUUCCCUCUUCGUCUCCCUUCUUUCUGCUUUCUGCUCCCUCUCCCCACCUCACACAAAUCAAUCAAUCAAUCUUAAAAAAUAAAAGUUAUAAAACGCUUUGAACAAAUCAUUAGGUAAGAUUGGACUAGAAAUUGCUGCAGUGCUCCAAAAUUCUUAAGACACCAGUUAUAUAAUUGUCUGAAUCUGUUUUAAGGAUCACAAAGGCCCAAUAACCAAAUUAUAGCUAAAUUUGUCCAAGGGCACUGUGAGAAUUUGAUCAUAAAUACAAUCACUGAAGAAACACCCUUGUGACUAGACGAAGGCACAAGAGGGGAAUACUAAAGGUAACUUUAUAACAUGUGAAUAUAUACAUUUUCAUUAUUCAUGUUUUAAAUAGAACUUUCCAUCUUUACAAAUAUAAGUACUCAAAACAGAAAAGAUAACCCCUUUUUGGUCUUUUAAGACUCUAACACUACUUUGAGCAAGGAGACAUUGACGAUAUACUGAGGAAUAUGUUAUUGUUAUUCAUUUGAAACUUAUUUUAAAUGAUCCAAAACUAAAGAAUAGGCUAUCUUUGAACAUGGCAUUAAUAAUAGAGAAGAAGUGUUUGACAUUCUUUAGCUUUUAUACAUUUAGCUAGUUUUGCUAUUUUAAUACUUAAGACACAAUAUACAUGCACAUAGCAGUCCCACCAUCAGACAAAGGAACUGAGAAAGCGUCAUUCUUUACAAAUGGACAUAAGGUAAAAUUCUAACCAUUAAAAAUGUUAACCUGGCUCAGUCAGAAGUGUUCAACUCUUGAUCUUUGGGUCAUGAGUUUGAGCCCAACACUGAGUAUAGAUAUUACUUAAAUAAAUAAAUCUUUUUAAAAAUGGUUAACACUCAGAUAUAAGCUGAAAAUUAUUUUUUCAAUAUGCUCCAAACCUUUAACAACCAAAGACACAUCAAAGAUUAUGUUUCUGUGCUGAUACGUCUUUGUUGAACUUGGCUUACCUAAAUGGUCACAAACAACUUUUUCUCGUCUCAUUCAUUCUCUCAGACUUUGCUGAAUAAAAUUAAUUUUAAUAUUAAAAUUACUUGGCUACCCAGAAUAAUAUCCAUUUCCUUUUAAUAGAUUCUUUAUUGCACACCUGGAGUUUUUUGAAGUAAAAAUACUAUUUUACCUAAAAUUUAAAAUUAGUAUAAUAUUAUAUAUCUAUUAAUAUAAACAAUAGGCUUUACAUUAAGACAAAAACUUUAACAACAUAAGAGGAUCUCUUUAAUGGAGAUAUAAGGUAGGAGUAAACACUUCAUGCAAAUUCAUUUCAGGUCUUCUGGUCUUCUUGACACCCGAGAACCUUCUAAAAAAGAAGUUUUGUGUGCUAAAGUUGCAUCAUAUGUCUUAUAUUAUAAAUUAUUAAAGGACUUAAUGGACAAUGCAUUAGAAAGAAAACAGGCAAAUUACAGAAUAAAUUUAAUGUUGCAAAGAAACAGAGCAACUUGCAGGACACUAAACACUAUUUUGACAUGAAUGCCUGAAGCUAAAACAAUUAAAGCUACAAAAUAUUGCUGGCUGACAUGAUGUGUAUGUAAAUUUGUCAUUCAUUGGCAAAAGUUUGUUUGUACCAAUCACUGGGAAUGUUCACAGUAAAACAAUCCAUGUACCAUAAAAUGCUUUCAGUGAAGUCCUCUAGAAAAAAGUAGUCUUGUAUCAUUUACGGUAUCUGAUCCUUAUCCAUUGUAAAUUUUCAGUUUAAUAAAAUAGUAUUCCAUGGAAAUGAUCUUAAGUUUGAGGACUAGUUCUUGACAUACUGCUUAUAUUUAUGUUUAUUUCAUAAAGGAGAAAUGUCAUUUUUUACACAUACC
rnacentral:lncRNA from 1 species